CUUCCAACAGGCUUUGUAUCUCAUCGACGAUUUUUAACUUAUCGCCCACCGAAUCUGCUAAGGUUGUGGAUAAAUUUUGAUCGGGCAGUAAGACUUGCAUUUUCGUUGAGUUGAAUUUAAUGUCUUUUUUUAUAGUUUUAAAUGACUUAUGUGUCUUUUUAUCAAUUUUCAAUUUAUUUUUAUGUGCGCUCGUGCUAAAAUUUUUAUAAAUAGCGCCAAGAAUUU